rnacentral:lncRNA from 1 species
GCACUAAGAAGUGAACUUGCUUUGCCUCUUUCAUUCUCUAGCUCCUCUUAUAUUCAAAUCUCUUUCUUUUCCAAAUUCUGAAGUUCUGACCAGUUAAUAUUCACUUUCCAUUCUAGCUGGUUGCUGUUAGUUUUGCUACUGUACUCUCGCGGUUCAGUUGUUUUUUCCUCUCGUAAUUUUGGUUUGUAUUAUUCUUUGUAACUUUUCAACACCACUGUUAUUGAUGUUUUAUGAAUUUUUCUGUGUUCUUGAAAACACGAUUACUGAACCGUGCAUGGCUGCUGAUGAGGUUCUGGUCAUUAGCGGUUUUUGAAACCGGAAUGUUGAACUGUUACCUCAGAUAGCAUACUUGUUUCCCAAGAAUCCUCAAAUGGACACCUUGAUGGUCUUGCGAUGUGCUUGUUUUUUAUUUUACUUUUUUGUUGUUUCCUAGUUUUAUCUAAAUCCUUCUGGUUUGCUUGUUUUCAAUUGUUUCUAGUGUUUGUUGAUGCUGUUUUUUGUUUUAUGCGAAUGUAUGAAUGUAUGUGGUCUCAAAUGCUGUUUAACUGUGUAAGCAGCUUUGUUUUACCAUUUUUUUGCAAGGGCUUAUCUGAAAUUGAAAUGAUGUUUUUUAUUGUUUUACUCGGUGUAGAUUAAGCUGUAGUGUAUCAAAGUAUUUGAUCAGGUGUGUGUAUUUGGUUAU